AUUAACCGGAUUAGAUACCCUGGUAGUCCACGCCCUAAACGAUGAAUACUCGAUGUUAGCGAUAUACUGUUAGCGUCCAAGCGAAAGCGUUAAGUAUUCCACCUGGGGAGUACGCCCGCAAGGGUGAAACUCAAAGGAAUUGACGGGGGCCCGCACAAGCGGAGGAGCAUGUGGUUUAAUUCGAUGAUACGCGAGGAGCCUUACCCGGGCUUGAAAGUUAGUGAAUGAUCCAGAGACGGAUCAGUCCUUCGGGACACGAAACUAGGUGCUGCAUGGCUGCCGUCAGCUCGUGCCGUGAGGUGUUGGGUUAAGUCCCGCAACGAGCGCAACCCCUAUGUUUAGUUGCCAGCACAUAAUGGUGGGGACUCUAAACAGACUGCCUGUGCAAACAGAGAGGAAGGAGGGGACGACGUCAAGUCAUCAUGGCCCUUACGUCCGGGGCUACACACGUGCUACAAUGGGCAGUACAGCGGGCAGCUACCUGGCAACAGGAUGCCAAUCUCGUAAAGCUGUUCACAGUUCGGAUCGGGGUCUGCAACUCGACCCCGUGAAGUUGGAUUCGCUAGUAAUCGCGUAUCAGCAAUGACGCGGUGAAUACGUUCCCGGGCCUUGUACACACCGCCCGUCAAGCCAUGGAAGCUGGGAGUACCUGAAGUACGUAACCGCAAGGGGCGUCCUAGGGUAAAAUCGGUAACUGGGGCUAAGUCG
rnacentral:rRNA from 1 species